rnacentral:rRNA from 1 species
AUUGAACGCUGGCGGCAGGCCUAACACAUGCAAGUCGAACGCGUGGCGGCCGGGUGUGUAAUGCUUGGGACUCUCGCUUAUGGAGGGGGAUCACUACGGGACACUGUAGCAUAUACCGCGUUCCAUAGGAUGACCCCAAGUGGGAUUAGGUAGUUGGUGAGGUAAAGGCUCACCAAGCCGACGAUCUCUAGCGGGUCUGAGAGGAUGACCAGCCACACUGGGACUGAGACACGGCCCAGACUCCUACGGGAGGCAGCAGUGGGGAAUAUUGCGCAAUGGGGGCAACCUGACGCAGCCAUGCCGCGUGAAUGAAGAAGGCCUUCGGGUUGUAAAGUUCUUUCGGUAGCGAGGCGUUAACUACAGAAGAAGCACCGGCUAACUCCGUGCCAGCAGCCGCGGUAAUUC